rnacentral:rRNA from 1 species
GGCACCACCAGGAGUGAACCUGCGGGUUAUUUGACUCAACACCGGGGAAACUACAGGUCAAAACACAGUGGGAUUGACAGAUUGAGAGCUCUUUCUGAUUCUAUGGGUGGUGGUGCAUGCCGUUCUUAGUUGGUGGAGUGAUUGUCUGGGUAAUUCCGUUAACGAACGAGACCUUAACCUGCUAACUAGUUGGCUUCUGCUCAAGGAGUUCAACUUCUUAGAGGGACUAAGCAUGCAAGUGCUUGGAAGUUUGAGGCAAUAACAGGUCCGUGAUGCCCUUAGAUGUCCUGGGCCGCACGCGUGCUACACUGACACAUUCAGCAAGUCUUCCUGAUUUGGAAAAAUUGGGUAAUCUGCAGUAUGUGUCGUGCUGGGGAUCGAUCUUUGUAAUUAUGGAUCUUGAACGAGGAAUUCCUCGUAAGCGCAAGUCAUCAUCUUGUGCUGAUUACGUCCCUGCCCUUUGUACACACCGCCCAUCGCUCCUACCGAUUCGAGUGAUUAGGUGAACCUUUUGGACUGCUUGCAAAAGCGGGAAGCCAAGUGAACCUGAUCACUUAGAGGAAGGAGAAGUUGUAACAAGGUUUCCGUAGGUGAACCUGCAG